ensembl:lncRNA
GUAGGACUGUUCCGUUAGGAGGCAGGACACUUCGGUUAGGAGGUAGGACUGUUCCGUUAGGAGGUAGGACACUUCCGUUAGAAGGUAGGACACUUCCGUUAGAAGGUAGGACCGUUCUGUUAGGAGGUAGGACCGUUCCGUUAGGAGGUAGGACUGUUCCGUUAGGAGGUAGGACCGGUCCGUUAGGAGGUAGGACCGUUCUGUUAGGAGGUAGGACACUUCCGUUAGGAGUUAGGACCGUUCUGUUAGGAGGUAGGACUGUUCCGUUAGGAGGUAGGACUGUUCCGUUAGGAGGUAGGACCGGUCCGUUAGGAGGUAGGACCGGUCCGUUAGGAGGUAGGACCGUUCUGUUAGGAGGUAGGACACUUCCGUUAGGAGUUAGGACCGUUCUGUUAGGAGGUAGGACACUUCUGUUAGGAGGUAGGAUACAUCCGUUAGGAGGUAGGACUGUUCCGUUAGGAGGCAGGACACUUCGGUUAGGAGGUAGGACUGUUCCGUUAGGAGGUAGGACACUUCGGUUAGAAGGUAGGACCGGUCCGUUAGGAGGUAGGACUGUUCGGUUAGGAGGUAGAACCGUUCCGUUAGGAGGUAGGACACUUCCGUUAGAAGGUAGGACCGUUCCAUUAGGAGGUAGGACUGUUCCGUUAGGAGGUAGGACACUUCCGUUAGAAGGUAGGACUGUUCCGUUAGGAGGUAGGACCGUUCCGUUAGGAGGUAGGACACUUCCGUUAGGAGGUAGGACACUUCCGUUAGGAGGUAGGACUGUUCCGUUAGGAGGUAGGACCGUUCCGUAGGAGGUAGGACACUUCCGUUAGAAGGUAGGACUGUUCCGUUAGGAGGUAGGACACUUCGGUUAGGAGGUAGAACUGUUCCGUUAGGAGGUAGGACACUUCGGUUAGGAGGUAGGACUGUUCCGUUAGGAGGUGGGACUGUUCCGUUAGGAGGUAGGACACAUCCGUUAGGAGGUAGGACCGUUCCGUUAGGAGGUAGGACACAUCCGUUAGGAGGUAGGACCGUUCCGUUAGGAGGUAGGACACAUCCG